GUUCUCCCUGAGACUUUAAGUCUCCUGAAGGAACGUUAAAGACGAUGACGUUGAUAGGCCGGGUGUGUAAGCGCAGCGAUGCGUUGAGCUAACCGGUACUAAUGAACCGUGAGGCUUAACCUU
rnacentral:rRNA from 1 species